UACGUAGGGUGCAAGCGUUGUCCGGAAUUAUUGGGCGUAAAGAGCUCGUAGGUGGUUUGUCGCGUUGUUCGUGAAAACUCACAGCUUAACUGUGGGCGUGCGGGCGAUACGGGCAGACUGGAGUACUGCAGGGGAGACUGGAAUUCCUGGUGUAGCGGUGAAAUGCGCAGAUAUCAGGAGGAACACCGGUGGCGAAGGCGGGUCUCUGGGCAACAACUGACGCUGAGGAGCGAAAGCGUGGGGAGCGAACAGG
rnacentral:rRNA from 1 species